rnacentral:rRNA from 1 species
GAUGAACGCUGGCGGCGUGCCUAAUACAUGCAAGUCGAGCGAACAGACGAGGAGCUUGCUCCUCUGACGUUAGCGGCGGACGGGUGAGUAACACGUGGAUAACCUACCUAUAAGACUGGGAUAACUUCGGGAAACCGGAGCUAAUACCGGAUAAUAUAUUGAACCGCAUGGUUCAAAAGUGAAAGACGGUUUUGCUGUCACUUAUAGAUGGAUCCGCGCUGCAUUAGCUAGUUGGUAAGGUAACGGCUUACCAAGGCAACGAUGCAUAGCCGACCUGAGAGGGAGAUAGGCCACCUCGUAAUUGGCACCCGGCCAAGCACCCUCCGGGGGCAGCCGUAAGGGAAUCUUCCGCAAAGGGCGAAAGCCUGACGGAGCAACGCCGCGUGAGUGAUGAAGGUCUUCGGAUCGUAAAACUCUGUUAUUAGGGAAGAACAUAUGUGUAAGUAACUAUGCACAUCUUGACGGUACCUAAUCAGAAAGCCACGGCUAACUACGUG